GUUCUGAUUGGUUGGUGGCCGUGUGUGUGUAAUGACAGCUGCGUUCUGAUUGGUUGGUGGCUGUGUGAUGAUGUAAUGACAGCUGCGUUCUGAUUGGUUGGUGGCUGUGUGAUGAUGUAAUGACCGCUGCGUUCUGAUUGGCUGUCUCCUGCAGAGAAACACCUGGUGCUGCUGCGUGAUGGAAGAACUCUGAUUGGUUACCUCCGGAGCAUCGACCAGUUCGCCAACCUAGUUUUUCACCAGACAGUCGAGCGCAUCCACGU